GGCUUGUUGAUCAUGAUUUCAAGUCUGACCUGCCCAAUGAGUAGUUAAAUGGCCGCGGUAUACUGACCGUGCAAAGGUAGCAUAAUCACUAGUUUUUUAAUUGAAAGCUUGAAUGAAAGGUUUGAUGAGAAAAGGUCUGUCUCUAUGAAAAUUUAUUAGAAUUUUAUUUUUAAGUUAAAAAGCUUAAAUUUGUAUAGAAGACGAGAAGACCCUAUAGAGUUUUAUAAAUGUUUUAAAAAUUGGGCUUUAAGUUUUAAAAGUUUGUUUUUAGGAUAUUUAUUUGGUUGGGGUGACAAAAAAAUUAAAUUAACUUUUUUUAGUACAAAAACAUUAAUUUUUGAAUAGUUGAUCCUGAAUUUUAGAUUAAAAGAGAAAAUUACCUUAGGGAUAACAGCGUAAUUUUUUUUAGAGCUCUUAUCGAAAAAAAAGAUUGCGACCUCGAUGUUGGAUUAAAAUAAAUUAUUGGUGUAGAAGCUAAUAAAUUAGGUCUGUUCGACCUUUAAAAUUUUACAUGAUCUGAGUUUAAACCGGCGUGAG
rnacentral:rRNA from 1 species